rnacentral:rRNA from 1 species
ACGAGUGGCGGACGGGUGAGUAACACGUGGGUAACCUGCCCUUAAUUGGGGGAUAACAUUUGGAAACAGAUGCUAAUACCGCAUAGAUCCAAGAACCGCAUGGUUCUUGGCUGAAAGAUGGCGUAAGCUAUCGCUUUUGGAUGGACCCGCGGCGUAUUAGCUAGUUGGUGAGGUAAUGGCUCACCAAGGCGAUGAUACGUAGCCGAACUGAGAGGUUGAUCGGCCACAUUGGGACUGAGACACGGCCCAAACUCCUACGGGAGGCAGCAGUAGGGAAUCUUCCACAAUGGACGCAAGUCUGAUGGAGCAACGCCGCGUGAGUGAAGAAGGCUUUCGGGUCGUAAAACUCUGUUGUUGGAGAAGAAUGGUCGGCAAAGUAACUGUUGUCGGCGUGACGGUAUCCAACCAGAAAGCCACGGCUAACUACGUGCCAGCAGCCGCGGUAAUACGUAGGUGGCAAGCGUUAUCCGGAUUUAUUGGGCGUAAAGCGAGCGCAGGCGGUUUUUUAAGUCUGAUGUGAAAGCCCUCGGCUUAACCGAGGAAGCGCAUCGGAAACUGGGAAACUUGAGUGCAGAAGAGGACAGUGGAACUCCAUGUGUAGCGGUGAAAUGCGUAGAUAUAUGGAAGAACACCAGUGGCGAAGGCGGCUGUCUGGUCUGUAACUGACGCUGAGGCUCGAAAGCAUGGGUAGCGAACAGGAUUAGAUACCCUGGUAGUCCAUGCCGUAAACGAUGAAUGCUAGGUGUUGGAGGGUUUCCGCCCUUCAGUGCCGCAGCUAACGCAUUAAGCAUUCCGCCUGGGGAGUACGACCGCAAGGUUGAAACUCAAAGGAAUUGACGGGGGCCCGCACAAGCGGUGGAGCAUGUGGUUUAAUUCGAAGCAACGCGAAGAACCUUACCAGGUCUUGACAUCUUUUGAUCACCUGAGAGAUCAGGUUUCCCCUUCGGGGGCAAAAUGACAGGUGGUGCAUGGUUGUCGUCAGCUCGUGUCGUGAGAUGUUGGGUUAAGUCCCGCAACGAGCGCAACCCUUAUGACUAGUUGCCAGCAUUUAGUUGGGCACUCUAGUAAGACUGCCGGUGACAAACCGGAGGAAGGUGGGGAUGACGUCAAAUCAUCAUGCCCCUUAUGACCUGGGCUACACACGUGCUACAAUGGAUGGUACAACGAGUUGCGAGACCGCGAGGUCAAGCUAAUCUCUUAAAGCCAUUCUCAGUUCGGACUGUAGGCUGCAACUCGCCUACACGAAGUCGGAAUCGCUAGUAAUCGCGGAUCAGCACGCCGCGGUGAAUACGUUCCCGGGCCUUGUACACACCGCCCGUCACACCAUGAGAGUUUGUAACACCCGAAGCCGGUGGCGUAACCCUUUUAGGGAGCGAGCCGUCUAAGGUGGGACAAAUGAUUAGGGUGAAGUCGUAACAA